GGCGGCGUGCUUAACACAUGCAAGUCGAACGAUGAAGCCCUUCGGGGUGGAUUAGUGGCGAACGGGUGAGUAACACGUGGGCAAUCUGCCCUUCACUCUGGGACAAGCCCUGGAAACGGGGUCUAAUACCGGAUAACACUCUGUCCCGCAUGGGACGGGGUUGUUGAAAGCUCCGGCGGUGAAGGAUGAGCCCGCGGCCUAUCAGCUUGUUGGUGGGGUGAUGGCCUACCAAGGCGACGACGGGUAGCCGGCCUGAGAGGGCGACCGGCCACACUGGGACUGAGACACGGCCCAGACUCCUACGGGAGGCAGCAGUGGGGAAUAUUGCACAAUGGGCGCAAGCCUGAUGCAGCGACGCCGCGUGAGGGAUGACGGCCUUCGGGUUGUAAACCUCUUUCAGCAGGGAAGAAGCGCAAGUGACGGUACCUGCAGAAGAAGCGCCGGCUAACUACGUGCCAGCAGCCGCGGUAAUACGUAGGGCGCAAGCGUUGUCCGGAAUUAUUGGGCGUAAAGAGCUCGUAGGCGGCUUGUCGCGUCGGAUGUGAAAGCCCGGGGCUUAACCCCGGGUCUGCAUUCGAUACGGGCAGGCUAGAGUGUGGUAGGGGAGAUCGGAAUUCCUGGUGUAGCGGUGAAAUGCGCAGAUAUCAGGAGGAACACCGGUGGCGAAGGCGGAUCUCUGGGCCAUUACUGACGCUGAGGAGCGAAAGCGUGGGGAGCGAACAGGAUUAGAUACCCUGGUAGUCCACGCCGUAAACGUUGGGAACUAGGUGUUGGCGACAUUCCACGUCGUCGGUGCCGCAGCUAACGCAUUAAGUUCCCCGCCUGGGGAGUACGGCCGC
rnacentral:rRNA from 1 species